GAUCUUUGACAUAUUUGGUAAGCGAUAGUAACAAACAAGAGAUAAUCGUGUGGGGACGCACAUCCCCACCAGUGACUAACCGCCCUUCGGGGCACUAUCGUUAGCCCUAGACCUAUUGUGCUAGGGGAGAAGCCAAGGAGAGACAGCGGGUGAGUAAGCACUCCCUCUGCCCCUUGCUUGGACACUCGGCGAGCGAAACGCCCUGACGAUAC
ncrna:unclassified sequences DTF2693 RNA